AACUUCAUUGGUUAGCCUAAAAUUAAUUAAAAGGUUAGCCUAAGAAUCCUCCCCCAUCUUCUCCAUCCUUGGUUUUCGUCUUUGUCUUGUCGCCACAGCCGCAUCCCCUCCAUUCGUACCUGACUCGGUCCCACCCUCAUCCAACGCAACUCGGAUCUCCUCCGUCCGGCGCAAAUAGUCGGUCAAUUUAUGAGUAAUCCCUUCCUUAAUCUUAGUUCCUCAAUCACCCGCACCACCCUCUAAACCUAGCAGAACCCAAAUUUUCACAGAACCCAAAUUGGGAAAGAAAGGUUUAAAGAAGAAGGAGAAAAAAGGACCAGUCUUGGGCACAUAGUUGCUGAAAGAAGGAACAAUCAUGGUCGUGGGUGAGAAUGGGUCGUUGAAUCGGACGGACGACAAUGAUUCUGUUGUCGUCGAUCAUUAGUCAAAUCAGAAUGGCUUGCCACAGUCAACGUUACCGAUCGAUCAGAAUCUUCAGAUGAAAACCACUGUCCAUAAGCCUCAAAUGGAUGUAUUUCAACAGCAACAACAAAGAAUCAACGACAAUGGAGUGCUGAGUCAUCACCAUAAACAAUUGUAUAUGAGGCUAAUAUUUAAAAUUCAUUUUAGAUAAUUUUGAGUCAUCGCCAUAUAAAGCAUUUCUUUUGAAUA